AAAGUGAAAACUAACUUGCAGUACUGCCUGUCUCCGUUUUCCAUCCCCUACAGACUGAGCACGGUGCGCUCGACCACCUUAAAAAAAUGGAGUUCACAGAAACAUUUUAGGGCCAGAUUACCUGGAAAGGAUCAUCUAUGGACCCAUUAGAGGCUGGAGUCAGUACAGAAUAUUCCAGGAGCCUUUGCCCUAAUGUGCUGUCUGCCCAGAAUGUGCUUCUGGUCAAUUCUCCAUAUCUCCAUACCUACUGCGAGUGCACCACAGAGAGCCCCAGGGAAGGGGACAGAGAUGAAAAGGGGAAUCCCACAAUCCCUAUCUUCUAAGAACACACCUAGAGCGGGAGAAAAACAAGCAAACUAAAAGAUACAGAGAGCAAGUAAUGUUCACUCUUAGAUGUUUCGCACCCUUGGAGAUUUGUGGCCGGCGCCAGCAGGCGGAGACUUUCCUUUCCUGUUCCGCACUUCCUUAUCCUCGCACCCUUGCGCCCCUCAUCUGGACUCCCCGUAAUCCGACGUGGGUCCUGCCUGCUGGGAGAAGGCCAUACCUGAUGGA